AAGCAAAAAAAAUACCAGCUGAGUAUCGUUUGUACCUGAAUGACAUCUUAGAAAAAUACUGUAUGGAGGGGAAAUUUGUUUUAUCUGCGCAGGAGGUCUGCAGGAGCCCAUUGUGUUCAAACUCUCUUAAUGCUUGAAUCCUAGGUUUGGCCAGUAACUGGGAGAUUUCUGGUGUGACAACCUCUGUCUGGCAGUGAUGAUAAGGUCACAGUGGUCAUCUUGGCCUUACUUGGAACCAUAUGCUUUGCUGGAAGAGUGGAGACUGGUCUUUCAAACCAGGAAUAUAAGAAUAAUGCGCUCUUAAAACACCUACUACGUGAAGGAAAGCAAAUGUAGCAGGGAAGGAUCUAAAGCCCACCAGGCUUCCCUUUAAAGUCUGCUGCUAGCAUUGCUGGUGAUCAGUGCGGAAACAGCUGCUACACGGACCUCUGCCUUCCUGGGGCUUCCUCACUUUUGGGCACAACAAGCAACAUGGAAAAUAGUGACAUCAGUGGAGAAGAGGCGGGGGAGCUCAGCUGGGCGUCAGUGCCGCUCUGUUCGUGGAGAGAGCGUCCUGUAGUCUACGGGGGCGAUGCCUGACAGGACAUCUCUGGCGCAACAAGAACAGGAGCGUGUGGAGCUGUAGAGAACAGCCUGAGCUCUUGCUGCUCCACAGGAACAGUGGCUUUGGCUGCAAACCUCCCCAAAUUUACAUCUCUUGUGUUGAGCGCUGAAAAUAGUUUGAUUCCAAAUGAGCUGCUGACCACAAGAGCAUGAGACUCUUAAAUGCAAACUUGUCACAGGAACAAGACCAGAAUCCUUAAAGAACUUGUAGGGACUUCUUCUUUUGACAUGUGUAAGUUUCCUGUGAUUGUCAGAGAAAAUAGCAUUUAUUUUUCUCUGGGCAAUAACAGAUGCAAUUAAAAAAAAAAAAAAACAACAAACCCCAAACCUUGUACCUGUGGAGGUGCUGUUGCCUUGAGCCACAACAAAUGGACCACAGCCUGUGGUAUGACUGGACCAUCUGAGGAUGAAAUGAUGCUUCUUGGAGGAAACAGUCACCGAGGAGCCAGGCUGGACCCCUGUGCCCCAUUUUGAGGACUCAAAUGCACAGGAAUCCUAUUCUACCUGUCCAGAAAUGAACUGAAAAAUCUUUCCCAUCUCCUCAGCCUUCUCAAAGCUUUGAAUUCUCUUCCCCUACCUAGAGCAAGGAAAAAAAAUUGAAAACUUCUGUAAGCAGACAGGAAGCAAUCCCAUGAGCUCCAUCAAAAUAUGUAAUCUCAUACUUUAAAAAUCUCUUUGGGUAAAUUACCUAAAAAAUUGUAAAUUUACCAAAGUGUUGAAAUCGUGUUUUCAUGCUGCAGAGCAAAACUGUCCCCUUUUUGAAAUGUGACAUUUUCAAAUAUUUUUGUACAUUUUUUUAAACCAAGACACUUCCAAAUCUGUACUUCCCUGUUAACAACUUUGGGUUGCUGUUUUGCCCUUAAAAAAUGUUUUACCAGAAAUUUUCUCCCCAGCAAUUCCCGUGAGGCCCUGAUUCCACCCUUAGAGGUGGGCGGUUUAGAACCCGCCUGGAUAGAAAGGCAGAAGAGUGGCUAAGCUGAGAGCAAUCCUGUCAUUCCAAUACAUAACCAUUGUUUGAACCGAUGACCUUUCAGAAGUUCAUUAGUUCUUGGCAGUCGAAAACAAGAGGAAUUUAUUUGCCUCCUUCAGGAAAUUCAACCCAUACUGUUGAAAAUUCAGUGUUGCUCCAGAGGAAAAGCUGAUCAGUGGCUGGGUUGCUUGGACGAGAAGGUUAUCCACAUGCUGGGGACUGGCACCGGAGACUGUAAGUUCGAAUUUAUAUCUCCUGUCAUUGCCCAUAUCACAUCUGAUCAUGUUUUUUUUUCUUGGAGCUUCAUUUCCCCUUCACCACUGUUUUUGCAAAGACGUACAAUCCAUAAAGAACUGGGCAGUGCUUUGCUGUCAUGGUGAUGUGGUCUAAACAAACCCAGAGUAUUUCACCCAUAUUUCAAAACUGACUUCUUGUUGCAAAUGAAAUAGUAGAGGAACUUGCAGUUUUGUCUGCACGGAUCCUCGCCCAGUUAGUCAUGCUGGCUUGCAGCUGACUCUUGGAGUUCUUCUAGAGUUUUAUCAAUUUCAGUGAUAAAUAUCUCAGUGCGCAGUGGUGUGCUAGAUAACUUGCAUCUAAAACUGAUUAUCAUUUCUCCUUUAAGAAGCAUUUCUUUCUGUGCAAGGUAGGUUUCUUCAAAAGGAAAAAUAAAAAUUCCUCCAAAA